rnacentral:rRNA from 1 species
GACGAACGCUGGCGGGCGUGCCUAAUACAUGCAAGUAGAACGCUGAAGGAGGAGCUUGCUUCUCGGGAUGAGUUGCGAACGGGUGAGUAACGCGUAGGUAACCUGCCUGGUAGCGGGGGAUAACUAUUGGAAACGAUAGCUAAUACCGCAUAAGAGUAGAUGUUGCAUGACAUUUGCUUAAAAGGUGCAAUUGCAUCACUACCAGAUGGACCUGCGUUGUAUUAGCUAGUUGGUGGGGUAACGGCUCACCAAGGCGACGAUACAUAGCCGACCUGAGAGGGUGAUCGGCCACACUGGGACUGAGACACGGCCCAGACUCCUACGGGAGGCAGCAGUAGGGAAUCUUCGGCAAUGGACGGAAGUCUGACCGAGCAACGCCGCGUGAGUGAAGAAGGUUUUCGGAUCGUAAAGCUCUGUUGUAAGAGAAGAACGAGUGUGAGAGUGGAAAGUUCACACUGUGACGGUAUCUUACCAGAAAGGGACGGCUAACUACGUGCCAGCAGCCGCGGUAAUACGUAGGUCCCGAGCGUUGUCCGGAUUUAUUGGGCGUAAAGCGAGCGCAGGCGGUUAGAUAAGUCUGAAGUUAAAGGCUGUGGCUUAACCAUAGUACGCUUUGGAAACUGUUUAACUUGAGUGCAAGAGGGGAGAGUGGAAUUCCAUGUGUAGCGGUGAAAUGCGUAGAUAUAUGGAGGAACACCGGUGGCGAAAGCGGCUCUCUGGCUUGUAACUGACGCUGAGGCUCGAAAGCGUGGGGAGCAAACAGG